AAUAUUGGUCAAUGGACGGAAGUCUGAACCAGCCAUGCCGCGUGAAGGAAGACCGCCCUAUGGGUUGUAAACUCCUUUUAUCCGGGGACAAACUUAUCUUUGCGAAGAUAGCUGAAGGUACCGUAUGAUAAAGCACCGGCUAACUCUGUGCCACCAGCCGCGGUAAUACGGAGGAUGCGAGCGUUAUCCGGAUUUAUUGGGUUUAAAGGGUGCGUAGGCGGACAAAUAAGUCAGUGGUGAAAUCACUCAGCUUAACCGAGUAACUGCCAUUGAUACUGUUAGUCUAGAAUGUAAAUGGAGUAGGCGGAAUGAAUCAUGUAGAGGUGACAUUCAUAGAUAUGAUUCAGAACACCGAUCGCGAAGGCAGCUUGCUAAGAUACAAUUGACGCUGAGGCACGAAAGCGUGGGUAGCAAACAGG
rnacentral:rRNA from 1 species